CCGAAUUACGACGUUUCAACUUAAGACACGGUUUUCAGGAACCAAUUGUGUCGUAAGUCCGAGGACUGCCUGUACUGUUUAAAUCAGGCGUGGGAAAACUGCAGCCCGCAGGCCAGAUGUGGCCUGCCAGACCAUUCUAUCUAGCCCGCGGGGCCCCUAAAAAAUUUAGAUAAUUAAUAUUUAUCUGCCCCUGGAUGCCUGUUAUGCGGCCCUCGAUGGCUUGCCAAAACUCAGUAAGUGGCCCUCCAUCCAAAAUAAUUGCCUGCCCCUGGUUUAAAUGGUUCCCCUCCAGCCCUGAAAUGUAUUAUGAUUGGCAUAACUGAGGAUUGAUUUUGAAAUGCCCAUGCCAUGGCAGCAUCAUCUUCUUCAGAAGUUAGGCAUCUACCGUUAUAUCUGGGGUUGAGAAUGUUCACAAGAAAAUGAGGUGGAGUUAGUACUUGAUCCAUUCACUUCUUUAUUGCCUGCAGUUUAACUUUCUGGUUGGGUAUUUCUUUCUUCGAUGUUUCUUGAAGUGCCUUCCAAAUUUCGACAGCAUCAGCAAUGUAGCAAAAAUCUCUCUGAAGUUUGUUUAAGGCUAUAGAUAUAGGCUUCUGUAUACUGAGCAUAUCCUCUACUUUCCUCUUUAAUUCAAUGUUAGAUACUUUGGGUGCAGUGAUGAUGCGCAGGGGAUGCAUGGGGGUGCACAUGCACCUCUUGAGAGCGCUGGUGCACCCCCUGUCAGGCCACGCUCCCUGUUUAGGUGACAGGCUGGGGGAAGGCUGGAGCACCGGUGCUGCCUCUGCAAGCGCUGGCUGAGAAGUGGGACCACCAGCAGAAGUGGCUGCGCCACUUCCGGAAGUGGCCUUGGGAGUUCUGAAAGCGGUGCAGCUGCUUUUUGGUGACUGAGAUUGGCCCCAGGGGGGAUCCCCCAGUCAGUGAGAUUGGCUGCUGGGGGACCCCCGCCAUGGUUGCUGGCUGGUGUCAAGAGGCACCAGUUGCCUAUUGUACUCUCCCGUGCCAUUCACCCAUGCGCCGUGACUGUAGGGCCUUUUCUGGUUUCACCAUUGCUUAAGGAAGAGGCAGGCUUGUUACUGGGUUAGAUCUUGGAAGGUUCUUCAGGGGGUUUUUCCUGCCAUGUCUUGCUGGAAUAAAUUAUUGUAAUUGGGAGGAAGAUGGUUUGUCCCACCCUUCCUGGUAUCUUCCUUCAAUCUUCCAGAUUAUCUGUCCUACUUGGGGUUCCGCCUCCCCUACACUCCACCCAACAUCAACCAAAAAUGUUGUUUCCGGAUUUCUGGAGUUUGUACAGUAUGAACUCUGGUGUUUUGUCCCUCUGAAUUUAUGAUGGUUGGAUUGGGAUGUUAUCUCAUCUGACUUUUCCCUGACCAUACUUGGUCCUGCCUAAGCAUCUUCCAGACCCCGGGUUACCUUGCUUCCUGGCAUCUCUCUCUCUUUCUUGGCUCAGUACUUGCUGCGGUUCAGACAUCCAUCUCUUCUUGUCCCUUCAGGUCCCACCUGGAUCCAGUAGAGGCUAGAGAUGUCCAACGUCCAUGGUGCUUCUUCAGCAUCUCCCGCCAUGGUUUAACUUUUGCCGUGCUUUUGUUCCUGUGUGUCAUCCCGCUGGCUCCAUUCCUUGCCAGGCUGGGGGAACAGACAUGCCAGCGGCUGCAGGCGAACUUUUAUUGGCCCAGAAUUGCCCAGAAUCUGACAGACUACUGAAGAUCUUGUGAGACAUACCAGAGGACCAGCAAAAGUGGGGACAAGAGAAAGGAUCCCCUACAGCCCCUCCCUAUCAUUGAUCAACCCUUCCAAAGAAGGAUAUUGUGGGCCUACUGAGGCAUAAGACCCAUAGAAGGAAGAAAUACAUCCUGACUCUAGUGGAUUUCGCAACUUGGUACCCAGAGGCAAUUGCCUUGACCUCUGCCAAGGCACCUGUAGUUGCUGAAGCCCUGACCCCAAGAUCUUCUUUCAGCUGGGGUUUCCCUCUGACAUCCUGACUGACAAAGGUGGGAACUUCCUGGCGGAGGUGAUGAAGUGCCUGCGGGAGUGCUGUGGAGUAAAACACCUUAACAUCACAGCCUACCACCCUCAGACAAAUGGGCUUGUAGAAAGGUUCAAUGGUAUGCUAAAGGCCUAUGUGGACCUAACCCCAAUGACUGGGAUGAGAAACUUCCGCAUUUGCUCUUUGCCUACCAUGAAGUACCCCAGGAGUCCACUGGGUUCUCGACAUUCGAGUUGAUGUCCAGAAGGGGAGUUGGGGAUCCUCUCAAUUUGCUGAGAGAAGAGUGGAAAGGGAAAAUCUCUUCCACUAAGACCUCCAUGGUAGAGUACGUGCUCAGCUUUUGUUAGAAGCUAACUGACAUGACAAAGGUGGCACAAGACUCCUUGGCCCAGGCCCAGGAGAAGCAAAAUGUCUGGUAUGAUGAAAAAGCUCGCUUAUGUACCUUUGAAUGAGGUGAUAAGGUCAUGGUUUUCCUGCCACUAAAGACAGACCAGCUGCAAGCAGCUUGGGAAGAUCCCCAUAUCAUCCUGGACAGGCUAGAUGAUGUGACCUAUGUAGUGAUCAGGAGUGGGGCAGACAAAAAGCCUAAGAUAGUACACAUGAACAUGCUUAAACCAUACUUUAAUAGAUGUGAUUUGGUAUUCUGGAUUUCCUCAGUAGAAGGAUCACCUGAUGUACUGGGAUGGAUAGCCAGGAAUAGAGGAACUCCACCUGCCAGAUCAUCUGCCCUUCCAGGACAAGGACAAACUGCUCGCAACACUCAAGGACUUUGAGACAGUGUUCUCUAACAAACCAGGUAACAUGAACCUGGCAGUACACUCUAUAGACACAGGCAGCGAUUGCCCUAUCCAAUCCAGACCAUAUGCAGUUAAUGCGAAGGUGAUGCAAGAAACAAAGCAGGAAAUCGUAGAGAUAAGAGUUAGGUGUAAUCUGGCCUUCAAUGAGUUCCUAGGUCAGCCUGGUGGUACUUGUCCGGAAGCAGGAUGGGUCCAGCCGGUUCUGUGUGGACUACAGGAAGCUGAAUGCUGUUACCACCCCUGACGCUUACCCUUUGCCCAGGACAGCCUCUUUGCUUGGAUCACCUGUGCCCAGCCAAGGUCACCUCUACUCUUGAUCUGUCCAAAGGAUUCUGGCAAAUGGCACUGGAUUCAGAUACCAUAGCCAAAUCUGCCUUUACCACAACUGUGGGACUAUAUGAGUUUACAGUUUUACCUUUCGGUGUGUGCAACUCUCCCACAUCUUUUCAAAGACUGAUUAAUAACCUGUUACAAGAAUGUGAGCAGUUUGCCAUGGCUUACAUUGAUGACAUCCCCAUCUUCAGUCAGGACUUUGAAUUGCACCUGAUUCAUCUGACCACUGUGUUAGGUAGGAUCAAGCAAGCUGGUCUUACCAUAAAAGCCAAAAAGUGCCAGUUGGCACUAUCUGAAGUGGUAUAUUUGGGACAUUGUGUGGGGGGAGGUCAGAUUGCUCCCUUGUGGGACAAGAUUGAGGCUAUUAGAGACUGGCCACCCCCACAAAUCAAGAAGCAAGUCAGAGCCUUCCUUGGCUUGGCUGGAUAUUACAGGCAUUUUGUCCCUGGAUUUGGAGUGAUGACAGCUCCCCUACAUGAGAUGACCAAGAAGAGCAGCCCUGAUCCAGUGGUCUGGAAGCAGGGGUGCCAGGAAGCAUUUGACACCCUACAGGCUGCCCUUAUCAAACCACCAAUUCUGAAUGCACUGGUCUAUGAUAAACCCUUCUAUGUAGCCACUGAUGCCUCUGAUUCAGGAUUAGGAGCUGUACUCUUACAAGAGCACAGAGACAUGGCACCCCACGGUUUACUUAAGCCAGAAGUUAAUCCCUUGGGAGCAGAACCUGUCAUCUAUUGAAAAGGAGUGUUUGGCAAUCAGCUGGGCACUGAACAAGCUGAGGCCCUAUCUGUGGGGGCAGCAGUUCACCAUUAUAUCGGACCAUGCCCCACUUCAGUGAUUGCAGACAAUGGAAAACACCAAUGCCAAGCUUCAACAAUGGGCCUGACAGCUUCAAGACUUCAACUUCACCAUCAAAUACAUCAAGGGAAGCCAGAAUGUGAUAGCAGAUGCCCUGUCACAAAAGGACUCUGGGUAGUGGGUCAGAUGGACUCAGGCACACCUGAGAGAGGUCUGGCAUGGGAGCUCCCCAGUGUGUUUCGAUGUCCUACAUGUAUUUGUUGUGGAAACACAUGCAGCAUACUUUUGGGUCAGGUCAGCAGAAGCUUUUAUUCAAAAGAAACUACAGCUGUAGGGGGGAUUCCAAAGUGACAUGGAUUUCCCAAGCACUUGGAAGGGGUCCCC